UGACUCGGGGUGCCCGUAAGGGCUGAGACUUUACCCGUAUUACCUGACCUGGAUAAUGCCAGCGUAGGGAAGUCACG
rnacentral:ncRNA from 1 species